rnacentral:rRNA from 1 species
GGAAUUCCUGGUGUAGCGGUGGAAUGCGCAGAUAUCAGGAGGAACACCAAUGGCGAAGGCACAUCUCUGGGCCGUAACUGACGCUGAGGAACGAAAGCGUGGGGAGCAAGCAGGAUUAGAUACCCUGGUAGUCCACGCCGUAAACGGUGGGUGCUAGCUGUGGGCCACAUUCCACGUGGUCCGUGACGAAGUUAACACAUUAAGCACCCCGCCUGGGGAGUACGGCCGCAAGGCUAAAACUCAAAGGAAUUGACGGGGGCCCGCACAAGCGGCGGAGCAUGCGGAUUAAUUCGAUGCAACGCGAAGAACCUUACCAAGGCUUGACAUAUAGAGGAAAAGUGCAGAAAUGUACUCCCCGCAAGGUCUCUAUACAGGUGGUGCAUGGUUGUCGUCAGCUCGUGUCGUGAGAUGUUGGGUUAAGUCCCGCAACGAGCGCAACCCUCGUCCUAUGUUGCCAGCACGUAAUGGUGGGAACUCAUGGGAUACUGCCGGGGUCAACUCGGAGGAAGGUGGGGAUGACGUCAAAUCAUCAUGCCCCUUAUGUCUUGGGCUUCACGCAUGCUACAAUGGCCGGUACAGAGGGCUGCAAUACCGUAAGGUGGAGCGAAUCCCAAAAAGCCGGUCUCAGUUCGGAUUGAGGUCUGCAACUCGACCUCAUGAAGUCGGAGUCGCUAGUAAUCGUAGAUC